GAUGAACGCUGGCGGCGUGCUUAACACAUGCAAGUCGAACGAAGCACUUUAUUUGAUUUCCUUCGGGACUGAUUAUUUUGUGACUGAGUGGCGGACGGGUGAGUAACGCGUGGGUAACCUGCCUUGUGCAGGGGGAUAACAGUUGGAAACGGCUGCUAAUACCGCAUAAGCGCACAGCAUCGCAUGAUGCAGUGUGAAAAACUCCGGUGGUAUAAGAUGGACCCGCGUUGGAUUAGCUAGUUGGUGAGGUAACGGCCCACCAAGGCGACGAUCCAUAGCCGACCUGAGAGGGUGACCGGCCACAUUGGGACUGAGACACGGCCCAAACUCCUACGGGAGGCAGCAGUGGGGAAUAUUGCACAAUGGGCGAAAGCCUGAUGCAGCGACGCCGCGUGAGCGAAGAAGUAUUUCGGUAUGUAAAGCUCUAUCAGCAGGGAAGAUAAUGACGGUACCUGACUAAGAAGCACCGGCUAA
rnacentral:rRNA from 1 species